rnacentral:ncRNA from 2 species
AUUUCGCAUCGAAUUUUUGGUUUGACAUGGAGAUUAUCUAAAUAAAUAAUAGCCUGUCAAUUAAAAGGGAAUCAGGAAAAUUGAAAUUUUUAAAAGAAUACAUACUCUUUAAAAGUUUUGAUGUAAUGCCUGAGCUGUUCCCGCAACUGUAUGCUUAGUCUAAGACGGUAUUUUGCCGAAUUAGAUGCUUGAUGUUAUUACUUCAAAAAAACCACUGUUCUUUUUUGAAUGGGAAGGUAAAUAUCAAGACGCGAGCCAGGAGACCUGCCAAUAUUCACCAAAUGUC